GACGAACGCUGGCGGCGUGCUUAACACAUGCAAGUCGAACGAAGUGGCGAACGGGUGAGUAAUACGUGGGUAACCUGCCCUCCUUUUUGGGAUAAGCCUUGGAAACGGGGUCUAAUACCGAAUAAAGGGGGAUGGGCUCGCGGCCUAUCAGCUUGUUGGUGGGGUGAUGGCCUACCAAGGCGGUGACGGGUAGCCGGCCUGGGAGGGUGACCGGACACAGUGGGAGUGAGAUACGGCCGAGACUCCUACGGGAGGAAGCAGUGGGGGAGAUUGCACAAUGGGCGAAAGGCGGAUGCAGCGACGCCGCGUGGGGGAGGAAGGCUUUAGGGUUGUAAACCUCUUGCGCUACCGAACGGGUAGGUGGAGAAGAAGCGCCGGCUAACUACGUGCCAGCAGCCGCGGUAAUUC
rnacentral:rRNA from 1 species